rnacentral:tRNA from 1 species
GGGGUUGUGGCUCAGAGGUAGAGUGCUCACCAAGCAUGCGUGAGGCACUGGGUUCGAUCCUCAGCCCCA